AAAAAGAAAUGCUUAGAGUGGACUAUU
rnacentral:piRNA from 1 species